UACGUAGGGGGCGAGCGUUGUCCGGAUUUAUUGGGCGUAAAGAGCUCGUAGGCGGCUUGGCAAGUCGGGUGUGAAACCUCCAGCUCAACCUGGAGACGCCACUCGAUACUGCCAUGGCUAGAGUCCGGUAGGGGACCACGGAAUUCCUGGUGUAGCGGUGAAAUGCGCAGAUAUCAGGAGGAACACCGGUGGCGAAGGCGGUGG
rnacentral:rRNA from 1 species